rnacentral:rRNA from 1 species
AACGAACGCUGGCGGCAUGCCUAACACAUGCAAGUCGAACGAGACCUUCGGGUCUAGUGGCGCACGGGUGCGUAACGCGUGGGAACCUGCCCUUAGGUUCGGAAUAACUCCCCGAAAGGGGUGCUAAUACCGGAUAAUGUCUUCGAACCAAAGAUUUAUCGCCUUUGGAUGGGCCCGCGUUGGAUUAGCUAGUUGGUAGGGUAAAAGCCUACCAAGGCGACGAUCCAUAGCUGGUCUGAGAGGAUGAUCAGCCACACUGGGACUGAGACACGGCCCAGACUCCUACGGGAGGCAGCAGUGGGGAAUAUUGGACAAUGGGCGAAAGCCUGAUCCAGCUAUGCCGCGUGAGUGAUGAAGGCCUGAGGGUUGUAAAGCUCUUUUACCCGGGAUGAUAAUGACAGUACCGGGAGAAUAAGCUCCGGCUAACUCCGUG